AUGCUUGUGUUGGCAGCAUAUAUACUAAAACUGGAACAGUGCAGAAAAGAUGAACAUGAACUAUGCUCCAGUAUGACAUGCAAAUUCACAAAGCAUUCUAUAUAUAU